rnacentral:rRNA from 1 species
GAUGAACGCUGGCGGCGUGCCUAAUACAUGCAAGUCGAGCGAACAGAUGAGGAGCUUGCUCCUCUGACGUUAGCGGCGGACGGGUGAGUAACACGUGGAUAACCUACUUAUAAGACUGGGAUAACUUCGGGAAACCGGAGCUAAUACCGGAUAAUAUAUUGAACCGCAUGGUUCAAUAGUGAAAGACGGUUUUGCUGUCACUUAUAGCUGGAUCCGCGCCGCAUUAGCUAGUUGGUAAGGUAACGGCUUACCAAGGCAACGAUGCGUAGCCGACCUGAGAGGGCGAUCGGCCACACUGGAACUGAGACACGGUCCAGACUCCUACGGGAGGCAGCAGUAGGGAAUCUUCCGCAAUGGGCGAAAGCCUGACGGAGCAACGCCGCGUGAGUGAUGAAGGUCUUCGGAUCGUAAAACUCUGUUAUUAGGGAAGAACAAAUGUGUAAGUAACUAUGCACGUCUUGACGGUACCUAAUCAGAAAGCCACGGCUAACUACGUG